rnacentral:rRNA from 1 species
CGGGUGAGUAACACGUGGGUGAUCUGCCUUGCACUUCGGGAUAAGCUUGGGAAACUGGGUCUAAUACCGGAUAGGACAGCUGUUUAGUGUCAGUUGUGGAAAGUUUUUUCGGUGCAAGAUGAGCUCGCGGCCUAUCAGCUUGUUGGUGGGGUAAUGGCCUACCAAGGCGUCGACGGGUAGCCGGCCUGAGAGGGUGUACGGCCACAUUGGGACUGAGAUACGGCCCAGACUCCUACGGGAGGCAGCAGUGGGGAAUAUUGCACAAUGGGCGGAAGCCUGAUGCAGCGACGCCGCGUGGGGGAUGAAGGCCUUCGGGUUGUAAACUCCUUUCGACAGGGACGAAGCGUAAGUGACGGUACCUGUAUAAGAAGCACCGGCUAACUACGUGCCAGCAGCCGCGGUAAUACGUAGGGUGCGAGCGUUGUCCGGAAUUACUGGGCGUAAAGAGCUCGUAGGUGGUUUGUCGCGUCGUCUGUGAAAUUCCGGGGCUUAACUCCGGGCGUGCAGGCGAUACGGGCUGACUUGAGUGCUGUAGGGGAGACUGGAAUUCCUGGUGUACCGGUGAAAUGCGCAGAUAUCAGGAGGAACACCGAUGGCGAAGGCAGGUCUCUGGGCAGUAACUGACGCUGAGGAGCGAAAGCAUGGGUAGCGAACAGGAUUAGAUACCCUGGUAGUCCAUGCCGUAAACGGUGGGCGCUAGGUGUAGGGGGCUUCCACGUCUUCUGUGCCGUAGCUAACGCAUUAAGCGCCCCGCCUGGGGAGUAC